AGAGUUUGAUCCUGGCUCAGGACAAACGCUGGCGGCAUGCCUAACACAUGCAAGUCGAACGGACAGAACAGGGAAGCUUUUCGGAGUGGAACUGGAAAGUUAGUGGCGGAUGGGUGAGUAACGCGUGGACAACCUACCUUGUAAAGGGGAAUAACCUCGAGAAAUCGAAGCUAAUACCCCAUAAUAACCUUGCUUCGCAUGAAGUAAGGAGGAAAGGCGGCCUUAGAGCUGUCGAUACAAGAUGGGUCCGCGUCUGAUUAGCUAGUUGGUGAGGUAAAGGCUCACCAAGGCGACGAUCAGUAGCCGGCCUGAGAGGGUGAACGGCCACAUUGGGACUGAGACACGGCCCAAACUCCUACGGGAGGCAGCAGUGGGGAAUCUUCCGCAAUGGGCGAAAGCCUGACGGAGCAAUGCCGCGUGAGUGAAGAAGGCCUUCGGGUUGUAAAACUCUGUCCUUAUCGAAGAGAGAGUGUUGUAGUAACUGACAAUACUAGGACGGUAGAUGAGGAGGAAGCCCCGGCUAACUAUGUGCCAGCAGCCGCGGUAAAACAUAGGGGGCAAGCGUUGUCCGGAAUCACUGGGCGUAAAGGGCGCGCAGGCGGUAAAUUAAGUCAGGUGUGAAAGUUCGGGGCUCAACCCCGUGAUUGCACCUGAUACUGAUAAACUAGAGUGUUGGAGAGGUAAGUGGAAUUCCUAGUGUAGCGGUGGAAUGCGUAGAUAUUAGGAGGAACACCAGUGGCGAAGGCGACUUACUGGCCAAUAACUGACGCUGAGGCGCGAAAGCGUGGGGAGCAAACAGGAUUAGAUACCCUGGUAGUCCACGCCGUAAACG
rnacentral:rRNA from 1 species